UUUUGGGAUCAGCUUGUCUCGAGGUAGUUCCUAUAAUUUCCCUUGUGAUUUUUUUCAUUGACUUGUUGGUUAUUUAGGAGCGUGUUGUUAAAUUUAUACAUAUUUGUGAAUUUCCCACUUUGUUUUUGUGAAUUUCCUUUUGUGAUUGAUUUUUAAUUUCAUCCCAUUGUGAUCAGAAAACAUACUUUGUAUAAUUUCAAUAUUUUAAAUAAUGAGACUUGUUUUCUGUCCUAAUAUAUGCUCUAUCCCAGAAAAUGUUCAUGUGCACUUAAGAAGAAUUUGUAUUUUGCUUUUGUUGAGUGGAAUAUUCUGUAGAUUUCUGUCAGGUCUAGUUGCUUUACAGUGUUGUUCAAGUCUUCUAUUUCCUUGCUGAUCUUCUAAUUGUUCUAUCCAUUAGUAAAAGUGGGGUAUUCGCUAUUCAAGUCUUUGGCUAUUAUCAUCUAUUUCUUCCUUUGAUUCUGUCAGUUUUUGCUUCCUGUAUUUUGGGGCUGUAUGUUCUGCUUUCUCAUUUCACCUUUCACAGAAGUUUUUUCCCGUUUGAUCAAAGAAAGGCUUGUCCUUCAUUUACCUUAGAAUCUUACUCUGGUACAUUGCCAAGUUGUAAAAUCACCAGGAAAUCAAGGGGAAUUCUGAAAUUUUGUUUCCCACGUUUUUUUAGUGAUAAUCAAGAUGCUGUAACACCCAUCCCAAGAAUGACUUUUCUUCCCUCUGUCAUCCAUACUCCUGUUAAGGCAUGACACUGGAAUGGGAUAGUUUGGCCCUUGUUGGAAUAUUCCUAAGCCAGAGUCUGGUUUGACUGAUGUUUGGACAAUAAGGACUAGCUUUGUUAAUUAGGUUAUAUUCCAGAUCUGUUACACAGAUUGAAUGAGCUAAAUUUCCUGCUCUAAGCUUUGACAAAAAAUAUAUUCAAAGCUUGUUAUAAAAUAAAAUCAUUUAUACUUGAACUAUAUGUACAAAUACUUAUACAUUAUACUACAUAAUAAAUGUAAAAAUAUAUGUGCAUUAAAGUACAGCAUAAGCAAAGGAAUGGUAAAAAUAAUAUUUCAAUUUCCCUGACCCUUUCUAGAUAUAUCAGGUUAACACAAGGUGCCUUUAGGUGAAAAAAGUUACAGGCAUAAUCAACAAUGCCCUUUUGGUAAACGUCACAGAAAU
rnacentral:lncRNA from 1 species